UUGGUCCUACGGGACGCAGCAGUGAGGAAUAUUGGUCAAUGGGCGAGAGCCUGAACCAGCCAAGUCGCGUGAGGGAAGACGGUCCUAUGGAUUGUAAACCUCUUUUGCCGGGGAGCAAAAAGCGGUACGCGUACCGCAUCGAGAGUACCCGGAGAAAAAGCAUCGGCUAACUCCGUGCCAGCAGCCGCGGUAAUACGGAGGAUGCGAGCGUUAUCCGGAUUUAUUGGGUUUAAAGGGUGCGCAGGCGGCGAGUUAAGUCAGCGGUAAAAUUUAGGGGCUCAACACCGACAAGCCGUUGAAACUGG
rnacentral:rRNA from 1 species